rnacentral:rRNA from 3 species
GGUCAUUUAGAGGAAGUAAAAGUCGUAACAAGGUCUCCGUUGGUGAACCAGCGGAGGGAUCAUUACCGAGUUUACAACUCCCAAACCCCUGUGAACAUACCUAUACGUUGCCUCGGCGGAUCAGCCCGCGCCCUGUAAAAAGGGACGGCCCGCCCGAGGACCCUAAACUCUGUUUUUAGUGGAACUUCUGAGUAAAACAAACAAAUAAAUCAAAACUUUCAACAACGGAUCUCUUGGUUCUGGCAUCGAUGAAGAACGCAGCAAAAUGCGAUAAGUAAUGUGAAUUGCAGAAUUCAGUGAAUCAUCGAAUCUUUGAACGCACAUUGCGCCCGCCAGUAUUCUGGCGGGCAUGCCUGUUCGAGCGUCAUUUCAACCCUCAAGCUCAGCUUGGUGUUGGGACUCGCGGUAACCCGCGUUCCCCAAAUCGAUUGGCGGUCACGUCGAGCUUCCAUAGCGUAGUAAUCAUACACCUCGUUACUGGUAAUCGUCGCGGCCACGCCGUAAAACCCCAACUUCUGAAUGUUGACCUCGGAUCAGGUAGGAAUACCCGCUGAACUUAAGCAUAUCAAUAAGCGGAGGA